UACGUAGGGUGCAAGCGUUAAUCGGAAUUACUGGGCAUAAAGCGUGCGCAGGCGGUUGUGCAAGACAGAUGUGAAAUCCCCGGGCUCAACCUGGGAACUGCAUUUGUGACUGCACGGCUAGAGUGUGUCAGAGGGGGGUAGAAUUCCACGUGUAGCAGUGAAAUGCGUAGAUAUGUGGAGGAAUACCGAUGGCGAAGGCAGCCCCCUGGGAUAACACUGACGCUCAUGCAACGAAAGCGUGGGGAGCAAACAGG
rnacentral:rRNA from 1 species